CCUACGGGAGGCUGCAGUGGGGAAUAUUGGACAAUGGGGGGAACCCUGAUCCAGCCAUGCCGCGUGUGUGAAGAAGGCCCUCGGGUUGUAAAGCACUUUCAGUGAGGAAGAACGCCUGGUGGUUAAUACCCAUCAGGAAAGACAUCACUCACAGAAGAAGCACCGGCUAACUCCGUGCCAGCAGCCGCGGUAAUACGGAGGGUGCGAGCGUUAAUCGGAAUUACUGGGCGUAAAGCGCGCGUAGGUGGCUUGAUAAGCCGGUUGUGAAAGCCCCGGGCUCAACCUGGGAACGGCAUCCGGAACUGUCAAGCUAGAGUGCAGGAGAGGAAGGUAGAAUUCCCGGUGUAGCGGUGAAAUGCGUAGAGAUCGGGAGGAAUACCAGUGGCGAAGGCGGCCUUCUGGACUGACACUGACACUGAGGUGCGAAAGCGUGGGUAGCAAACAGGAUUAGAUACCCCAGUAGCC
rnacentral:rRNA from 1 species